rnacentral:rRNA from 1 species
CAAUAGCGUAUAUUAAAGUUGUUGCGGUUAAAAAGCUCGUAGUUGGAUUUCUGCUGAGGAUGACCGGUCCGCCCUCUGGGCAGGUAUCUGGCUCAGCCUUGGCAUCUUCCUGAAGAACGCAGCUGCACUUGACUGUGUGGUGCGGUAUUUAGGACAUUUACUUUGAGGAAAUUAGAGUGUUUCAAGCAAGCGCACGCCUUGAAUACAUUAGCAUGGAAUAAUAAGAUAGGACCUCGGUUCUAUUUUGUUGGUUUCUAGAACUGAGGUAAUGAUUGAUAGGGAUAGUUGGGGGCAUUCGUAUUUAACUGUCAGAGGCGAAAUUCUUGGAUUUGUUAAAGACGGACUACUGCGAAAGCAUUUGCCAAGGAUGUUUUCAUUGA